AGAAGCUCGUGCCUGUAACCCUGAUCUGAUAGCGUGAGACAUGCGUGUUCUUCUCUCUUCUGUGUUCUACGGUGCCGGUGACACAUGAAAUUCUUCACAAUUUCUGAGAAGUUGUGCGUGAAUGUUGGAGUGAAAGCUCAUGGGCUAGCGAAGAGGAUUGUUUUCUUUCAGGCAGUUAGGGAGGAGACGGUGACUGUUUUAAGACCACCGUAGUGGGAUCGAGCUAGGAGAAAGUGGAGUAGGGGAGUUUGUCUCCGAUGGAAAUGGCGAAGGAGAUGGUGGUUGAGGGAGAGAUUAGGAGAGAGGCCAUGUUUGUGGAGGUUUGGAAGAGGAAUGGUUUGACCGAAUGUGGUGUUACAUAUCCCGGUGGAGUAGAGCAGUCGUGUCUUAUCCUUUGGUCUCCACAUACCGGCGAAAGAAAUCCGGAGACGUUAAGCAAGUGCGUUGAGUCCAAACGUCGUCUAUAACGCCAUCAUCAACAACAACUUCCCAGUACUUGGAUAGAGUGAAACUGCAAGUAUAAACAUAGUUGAAGGCUGGUAGGUAUAGGGAGACCAUUGUGAUAAAGCUUCUGCAUUUAUGGGAAGCAAAGAAUGUGAACAAGGGUGGUGAUUUCAUGGCUGUUUAUAUUGCUUUGGUGGAUGAGAAUCCGUGCCUUUUACGACAAGAGGCUCUCCCAGGAAGUUAGCGGAGAUGCUUUGAGCGAGUCUAAUAUGCAGGAGUUCAAGGGUACGUCUUCAAGAUCAUGGGAGGGUGCGACAAGCAAGGUUUCCCGAUGAAACAGGGAGUUCUUACCCCUGGCCGUGUCCGCCUCUUGCUUCACUGAGGUACUCCUUGCUUCAGUGGACACGGAAAGAGGACUGGAGAGAGGAGGAGAAAGUCUCUGUCCGGGGUUGCAUUGUCAGCCAAGAUCUAUCUGUUCUUAAGACCAUUGUAUUUUUGUUUAUCGCAUAGUUUUGGGAAGGUUGUAAAUCAAUCGUUAGAAAACAUAUGGUAUGUUGGCUUAUAUGUUGAACGAUAAAAUCACCUAUUUGACAAAUGAUUGCUUUAGUAUUUCGUUUGAUCUUUGA